GCUCAGUCAGUAGAACAUGAGACUCUUAAUCUCAGGGUUGUGAGGUCAAGUCCCACACUGAGUG
rnacentral:tRNA from 1 species